rnacentral:other from 1 species
AGCGAUCUGCUCUUUACGACAGGACUUCAAUUCCUCGGGCCUUACUGAAUUCUAAGGGAGCUAUCCCUGCCUUAGCUCGUGGGCUUUGGCAAACGGCACCCACCUACAUUGUAGGUUCCUAGGAUUUCACAACGUCCAUCGAUUGUAAGCGGAUCGCAC